rnacentral:rRNA from 1 species
CGGACGGGUGAGUAACGCGUGAGAAUCUGGCUUCAGGUUCGGGACAACCACUGGAAACGGUGGCUAAUACCGGAUGUGCCUAAUUGGUAAAAGGUUUACCGCCUGAAGAUGAGCUCGCGUCUGAUUAGCUAGUUGGUGUGGUAAGAGCGCACCAAGGCGACGAUCAGUAGCUGGUCUGAGAGGAUGAUCAGCCACACUGGGACUGAGACACGGCCCAG